rnacentral:rRNA from 1 species
AUGAUGUGCGGUUUCAGUACUACUAGCUGUGAGGAGGAGGAGGUUAGCCUUGAUGGCCAGGUGGUACCUCGGAAGGACACCUUUCGGUAUUUGGGGUCAAUGUUGCAGGAGGAUGGGGGUAUUGAUGAAGAUGUGAACCAUCGAAUCAAAGCCGGAUGGAUGAAGUGGCGCCAAGCUUCUGGCAUUCUCUGUGACAAGAGAGUGCCACAAAAGCUAAAAGGCAAGUUCUACAGGACGGCGGUUCGACCCGCAAUGUUGUAUGGCGCGGAGUGUUGGCCGACUAAAAGGCGACAUGUUCAACAGUUAGGUGUGGCGGAGAUGCGUAUAUUGAGAUGGAUGUGUGGCCACACGAGGAAGGAUCGAGUCCGGAAUGAUGAUAUACGAGAUAGAGUUGGGGUAGCACCAAUUGAGGAGAAGCUUGUCCAACAUCGUUUGAGAUGGUUUGGGCAUAUUCAGCGCAGGCCUCCAGAAGCUCCAGUGCAUAGCGGACGGCUAAAGCGUGCGGAGAAUGUCAAGAGAGGGCGGGGUCGACCGAUUUUGACAUGGGAGGAGUCCGUUAAGAGAGACCUGAAGGAUUGGAGUAUCGACAAAGAGCUAGCUAUAGACAGGGGUGCGUGGAAGCUUGCUAUCCAUGUGCCAGAGCCAUGA